rnacentral:lncRNA from 1 species
ACCAAUCCCAAGCACUUGACCUAUGGUCACAUAAGAGUUCUCCACUCUAAUACUACAUCGCAACAUAUCAUUUAGGGUGCAUUUGGUUCGCGCUAUUUUUUAAAGAUUCCUAGUAAUCCAAUGGGAAUAAAAAAAAUAUGACGGUGUUUGGUUAAACGCACUAAGUAAUCUAGUUGGUAAUAUCGGAUUCACUUGGGAAUAAGAUUCAUCCCAAAAUACUAAUCUCAUUCCCUUGAGGGAGGGUGGGUAUUCUUAUAUUAAUGGAUUAGGGUAAUCAUAAUAUGUCUAAUCUCGUUCUUUCUUCUUACCCGCCGGUUAAUUGAUAUUAUUUUUCUUUACACUCUAACCUUAUAUCUCUCUCUAAACUUAUUUUUCUCUCUAAAAUUCAACUUUUUUUUCUCUCUCUAAACUAAGCUUUCUCUCUCUCUCUCUUUCUAAAAUUUCAACUCUCUCACUCCCUCUAAUUUCGACUAUAUUUUUCUUUCUAUUUUUUUAAUUAUGCUCUCUCUCUCUAACUUAUACUCUCU